rnacentral:tRNA from 1 species
AAGAAUCUAGUUAAUUAAUAAUAUAAGUUUGUCAUACUUGUGUAACUCUUUAGAGUGUUUCUUU